UACGAAGGGGGCUAGCGUUGCUCGGAAUUACUGGGCGUAAAGGGCGCGUAGGCGGAUAUUUAAGUCGGGGGUGAAAGCCCAGGGCUCAACCCUGGAACAGCCUUCGAUACUGGAUAUCUUGAGUACGGGAGAGGUGUGUGGAACUCCGAGUGUAGAGGUGAAAUUCGUAGAUAUUCGGAAGAACACCAGUGGCGAAGGCGACACACUGGCCCGUUACUGACGCUGAGGCGCGAAAGCGUGGG
rnacentral:rRNA from 1 species